GACGGAGGAUGCAAGCGUUAUCCGGAAUGAUUGGGCGUAAAGCGUCUGCAGGUGGCAGUUCAAGUCUGCUGUCAAAGACCGGGGCUUAACUUCGGAAAGGCAGUGGAAACUGAACAGCUAGAGUAUGGUAGGGGCAGAGGGAAUUCCUGGUGUAGCGGUGAAAUGCGUAGAGAUGUGGAGGAAUACCGAUGGCGAAGGCAGCCCCCUGGGAUAACACUGACGCUCAUGCACGAAAGCGUGGGGAGCAAACAGG
rnacentral:rRNA from 1 species